GACGUAGGGCGCGAGCGUUGUCCGGAUUCAUUGGGCGUUAAAGCGCGCGUAGGCGGUUCGGUAAGUUCGGGUGUGAAAACACGAGGCUCAACCUCGUGCGUGCAUCCGAUACUGCCGGACUAGAGGUAGGUAGGGGAGAUCGGAAUUCCUGGUGUAGCGGUGAAAUGCGCAGAUAUCAGAGGAACACCGGUGGCGAAGGCGGAUCUCUGGGCCUUACCUGACGCUCAGGCGCGAAAGCUAGGGGAGCGAACAGG
rnacentral:rRNA from 1 species